GGAUGAACGCUGGCGGCGUGCCUAACACAUGCAAGUCGAGCGGAGAUAAGUGAAGCCUAGCGAUCUAUCUUAGCGGCGGAUGGGUGAGUAACACGUGGGUAACCUGCCCUGUACUGGGGAAUAACAGCUGGAAACGGCUGUUAAUGCCGCAUAUGCGCACGGAGCCGCAUGACUCUGGGCGGAAAGAUUUAUCGGUACAGGAUGGGCCCGCGCCGGAUUAACUAGUUGGCGGGGUAACGGCCCACCAAGGUGAUGAUCCGUAGCCGACCUGAGAGGGUGACCGGCCACAUUGGGACUGAGACACGGCCCAAACUCCUACGGGAGGCAGCAGUGGGGGAUAUUGCACAAUGGGGGAAACCCUGAUGCAGCGACGCCGCGUGAAGGAUGACGUAUUUCGGUAUGUAAACUUCUAUCAGCGGGGAAGAAGAUGACGGUACCCGACUAAGAAGCCCCGGCUAACUACGUGCCAGCCGCAGC
rnacentral:rRNA from 1 species